rnacentral:tRNA from 1 species
UAGCUCAGUCGGUAGAGCAUCAGACUUUUAAUCUGAGGGUCAAGGGUUCGAGUCCCUUAUCGGGCU